AAUACAUGCUUAUUAAAACAAAUCAUAGGCAGCAAGCCAUGUUUGGGUGCAGUUAGGAGCUGUUACUUUGUGGUCUGAAGAAAAGUUGUAUGUUUAAAUCUGUGCAGGACACAGCAUAUCUCCACUGAGGUCUCUUAACUGAGCCAAUCCUUCUUCCCCACCCUCUGAGGAAAUGACAUCUUCAUACAGAGGUGCGACAGGUUGAGGCUGGUAUGACACAAUGCGAGUGAUAUAUGUCACCAAGAGACAGGGUUAAAUAUGUUUCCAGGCUUUCUUUAUGUCAAAGCAUCCUUUGUAUGAACAAGCCAAAGAAGAAAGAACUAAUCAGCACUGAAGACCAGAGAGCAAGGAAAUUAUUCACCGCUCAAAGAAAUUCACCCUAGGCACACAUCAAAUUGCAUCUCACAUGCAGAAGAGAUUGGUGAACUCCGAUAGGUUCAGGAUAAGCACCUGACGUUCAGAUGCUUGUAUCUGAACUUUAUCUGAAUGAUCCAGAUUUCUUAGUUACAAAAUACAAGGCUGAGAAUUGCUAUUA